UACGGAGGGUGCAAACGUUGCUCGGAAUUAUUGGGCGUAAAGCGCGUGUAGGCGGCUUUGCAAGUCGGGUGUGAAAGCCCUCGGCUCAACCGAGGAAGUGCGCCCGAAACUGCAGAGCUUGAGUACCGGAGAGGAUGGCGGAAUUCCCCAAGUAGAGGUGAAAUUCGUAGAUACAGGGAGGAACACCGGUGGCGAAGGCGGUCCG
rnacentral:rRNA from 1 species